CAGACAUGGCAGCUGGUCCCUUUGUGGCACAGAGAGGGAAGGAAUCAACAAGUUGUAGCUGUAUUUCUGGCUGUAAGCAGGAAUUUCAGAGCAGCCUUUAAGGAUCCCACUUGCUGUCAGCAAAGUACAGGACACAGCUCUGAACAGAGAUGCACUGCACAGCCCAGCCUGGUACAACACUUCCAACUGUGCUGUGCCAGCACACGUGAGAUUGGGCUCCCUGGAACAGCAAAGGUCUCUCAGAGCCCAUAAGCUUUGGUCCUUUCAGAGAAGCUUGUUAUGAGCAACCGAGUAUGCAAAUGGCUGAUCAAAUAUUAUCUCAUCCAUGGGGACAAGCCAGCUCUCUGCCAGC